ACCUGCCAGAUUCCCUGCCCAUUAGGUCUAAUGGGCGGCGUGGUCAUAAAAGGAUGAAUGGCAACACUGAAACUGACUUAGAUUCUUUGUGGCACGCAAAGUAGUUUCAGACAAAC
rnacentral:snoRNA from 1 species